rnacentral:pre_miRNA from 1 species
GGCGGUUCUCCGACGACAUACCCUGGAAUCAGGCUCCCUCCUCUCUGGUACCAGGGUGCGUCAUCCAAGAACUGUCAC